UGGGGAAUAUUGCGCAAUGGCCGAAAGGCUGACGCAGCGACGCCGCGUGUGGGAGGACGCUUUUCGGAGUGUAAACCACUGUCAGGGGGGAAGAACUCCGUGUGUACGAAUAGUGCACGCGGUUGACGGUACCCCCAAAGGAAGCGCCGGCUAACUCCGUGCCAGCAGCCGCGGUAAGACGGAGGGCGCAAGCGUUGUUCGGAAUUACUGGGCGUAAAGCGCGCGCAGGCGGUUUCUUAAGUCCUUUGUGAAAAUCCGGAGCUCAACUCCGUGAAAUGCAGAGGAUACUGGGAGACUAGAGACCGGUAGAGGCUAGCGGAAUUCCUGGUGUAGCGGUGGAAUGCGUAGAUAUCAGGAAGAACACCGGUGGCGAAGGCGGCUAGCUGGGCCGGGUCUGACGCUCAGGCGCGAAAGCGUGGGGAGCAAACAGGAUUAGAUACCCCCGUAGUCC
rnacentral:rRNA from 1 species